rnacentral:lncRNA from 1 species
GUCUUCGUUCAGUUCGGAACAGAAGAAAAGGCAAAACAUAAACAAUAAAGCUUUCAGUUGAGUCUCUGAUAUGGCAAACUUACCUCAGUCUUUCUCAAUCGGCGUAGGCGGUUUCGGUAGCGGCGGAGCGGCAGCCUCCUCUUCCUCUGCAGUCGGAACUCCGGCCGAUAAGGAUCGCAAAAUGCAAUCCGCUGAACAGCUUGUGCUUGAUCUCAGCAAUGGCGGUUUCGGUAGCGGCGGAGCGGCAACAUCCUCUUCCUCUUCAGUUGGAGCUCCGGCCGAUAAGGAUCGCAAAAUGCAAUCCGCUGAACAGCUUGUGCUUGAUCUCAGCAAUCCUGAUCUUCGAGAAAACGCUCUUCUAGAA